AGGUCAGUAGUUCAAUCGGUAGAGCGUCGGUCUCCAAAACCGAAAGUUGGGGGUUCGAGUCCCUCCUGACCUGCCA
rnacentral:tRNA from 76 species